GAGCCUGGGAGCCUUGACGUUAGGAACGAAGUCGAACCUGGAUCUGGAGCCGGGUGAGAUCAAAUCGGGGAUGCUCUCAUAAUGAAUGUCAACCAGUCAGCUCCACCUGUUCCACCAUAUGGGCAGAACCAGCCCAUCUACCCAGGGUAUCAUCAGUCGAGUUAUGGUGGGCAACCAGGACCUGCAGCCCCUGCUACUCCCUAUGGAGCCUACAAUGGCCCAGUGCCAGGUUAUCAGCAGGCACCUCCUCAAGGUAUGUUUUGAGCUAGGGAAGGGAAUGAGCAGUCUUCAGGUUCGAUUGUGUUGCUUUAACAAAGCUGCUUAGGUCCUGUGACUGAGGAACAUGAGUCUGACUCUUUGAAAAUGAAGGCCCUGGGAAUAGUCUUGUCUCGCCUCGUUUUUACAUGUGACUGUUCUACCUAAGCCACCUAGGAAGAAUGCAUCUUCCAGAUUCAGCAACAGCUCACUUUGGUGGGUGUCACCCUGGACAGCAUCAUUACUGUUACUGUAUUACUGAGAGCUGGAUGGAAGGGUUGUGGUCAUAGCUCUUGUGUUGCCUGUUGACUUUGUCUCCCUGAAGUCACUUGUUCCUCAUAUGUGUUGAAAAUGCCUCUUAUUUGACUUCUGGUUCUUACUAUAAUACUACUCUGGGACACAUAUGUGUGUAAAUGAAUCUGAGUGUAAAAGUGUUUUUGUAUGCUUGACAUAGGGUACUCCCUGGAUCUUUUACUGUCUUUAUUUUCCUUUGCUUGGGUUUCCUCUUCUUGAAUGUUGUGUGAUGUGAGUGAAAUAAGAGACUCUUGUGUUGCAUUAGAUUCUCUGUGUAUCUCUUGGGGAGGAGUUGAAUGUCGGCCCCGUGUAUAUAUGCUUUAGUGUUGAGCUACGCUGCUGCCAGUCCUCAGCUUUGUUUGAUAUUACUUUUCCAAGAAAGGUAGCUGGCCCUCCACAUGCUAACCUGGCACAUCUUAUAAAGUUAUUAAUAGUAGACUUUUGGUUGUGCUGGCUGAAGAGGUAGAGGAUGCCAAACUCUGUGAGUCUUUUGUUGUUGUUUUCCAGACAGGAUUUCUCUGGAUAUCCCUGGCCAUCCUGAAACUCUCUCUGUAGACCACACUGGCCUGGAACUCAGAGAUCAGCCUGCCUCUGCCUCCCCAGUGCUGGGAUUAAAGGUGUGCACCACCACUGCCCAGCAACCAAACCCUAUGUUUGGGAGUAGAUUCCACCAGGCCUACUGUCACAGGCCUGUAAUUCCAGUUAUAAGGGAGGGUGCAGUAGGAGGAACCUCAAGGCUUGCCUGGGCUGUAGAGUGAGUCCAAAUCCAAUUUAGGGAACAGAGUAAGAGUCUGUUU
rnacentral:lncRNA from 1 species